AACGAACGCUGGCGGCAGGCUUAACACAUGCAAGUCGAGCGCCCCGCAAGGGGAGCGGCAGACGGGUGAGUAACGCGUGGGAAUCUACCCAUCUCUACGGAAUAACGCAUGGAAACGUGUGCUAAUACCGUAUACGCCCUUCGGGAGAAAGAUUUAUCGGAGAUGGAUGAGCCCGCGUUGGAUUAGCUAGUUGGUGGGGUAAAGGCCUACCAAGGCGACGAUCCAUAGCUGGUCUGAGAGGAUGAUCAGCCACACUGGGACUGAGACACGGCCCAGACUCCUACGGGAGGCAGCAGUGGGGAAUAUUGGACAAUGGGCGCAAGCCUGAUCCAGCCAUGCCGCGUGAGUGAUGAAGGCCCUAGGGUUGUAAAGCUCUUUCUCCGGUGAAGAUAAUGACGGUAACCGGAGAAGAAGCCCCGGCUAACUUCGUGCCAGCCGCCGCGGUAAAAC
rnacentral:rRNA from 1 species